UACGUAGGGGGCUAGCGUUGUUCGGAUUUACUGGGCGUAAAGCGCGCGUAGGCGGACUUGUAAGUUGGGGGUGAAAUCCCGAGGCUCAACCUCGGAACUGCCUCCAAAACUACAAGUCUGGAGUAAGAUAGAGGCAAGUGGAAUUGCGAGUGUAGAGGUGAAAUGCGUAGAUAUUCGCAGGAACACCAGUGGCGAAGGCGACUUGCUGGAUCUUUGCUGACGCUGAGACGCGAAAGCGUGGGGAGCAAACAGG
rnacentral:rRNA from 1 species